UACGGGGGGGGGAAGCGUUGUUCGGAAUUACUGGGCGUAAAGGGCUCGUAGGCGGCCAACUAAGUCAGACGUGAAAUCCCUCAGCUUAACUGGGGAACUGCGUCUGAUACUGGAUGGCUUGGAUCCGGAAGAGGGAUGCGGAAUUCCAGGUGUAGCGGUGAAAUGCGUAGAUAUCUGGAGGAACACCGGUGGCGAAGGCGGCAUCCUGGGCCGGUAUUGACGCUGAGGAGCGAAAGCCAGGGGAGCAAACGGG
rnacentral:rRNA from 1 species